AACGUAUGUUCUGAACUCUGAAGUUUUCUUUGAUUUCAUAAACAAUUCCUGAUUUUCUUUUGAGGUGGGAAAAUGAUUCGACUUAGGGUAUUGGUAGAACUAAUUUGAUUUCGUUAAUUGUGGCAUUGUUUUAUCAAGUGUUUAUGGCUGGAUUUCGUUAUUUCAAACCUGGUUGGCUGAAAUUUGGACUGACUACUGUUACUCGUUGCUGAUCCCUUCAUUUUCUAUUAUUUUCACUUUCCAGAUAUAUGUCUCUUGAAAACUUUAUUUGUGCUGAUGAAGCUUAGAAUUGAAGAAUGAAAUGACAAAGAAGAAUUUGAAAGCAUAACUUCUUCUGUUUGAUUAUGUUUUGUAUUUUGAAUUCUGCUAUUACUUGAAGUGUUAUAUUGUUAAAUAGAUCUUUGUAUUAGAAUUUCUCUUAUUAUUUUGGAGCUACUGUACGACUAAUAGGA
rnacentral:lncRNA from 1 species